AUGGCUGGAGAGCCCGGGCCGGGCCCUGCGCACCCGGGCCUCAAGCGGCCUCAGGGCACUGCCAGCCCCUGUACGAGUGAUUAUGACCUGGACCAUAAGCUGUACAGGGAAAAUGUCCCCUACAGUAGGGUGUAUGAAUACCAAAGGAUCCCUCCACUCAUCAACCGCGUGCCUGUCAGGAUCCGGAGGACCCAGGUGGGCAUGGGGGUCAAAAGCAGCUUCCGUCUUCACACGGGCCCCAGGAAGAGCCACCUGCCCCGGGAGCAAAUAAAGCUCCCGACUGAGGAGCUGCACUCCAUCAGGGGGGAGCUGAGUCAGAUCAAAGCCCAAGUGGACCGUCUAUUGGAGAAUCUGGAGCACAUGGGCCAGCAGAGGGACCAGCUUCCAACUGGGGGCCCGGGACACACUCCCAGGUCAGAGGACAGUGAAGAAAACAGAGGUCCAGAACUCCAGCAGGAGCCCCAGGGCCAGAAGGCCCAUCCAGAAGCAGACAGCUCUGAGGACAGCACAGACCCAAAGGAGGCAGUGAGUGGCCUGGCACCUCCCCCAUCCUCACCCUCCUUGCGUUUGGGUCCUUGUGGCUUCCCUGUGAACAAGGGAGAGACUCAGGUUUGUGCAGGAGCCCACAGUGGUGGCUGAGGGGACACAGGACUUCUGCCACAUGCAAUUCCCAGAAGAUGGCCCUGCACUGCUUUUUAUUCCCUCUCAUCUCGGGCUUGACGGCUCAGCUGGACUAGGGGCUAGUUCUGGGCUGAAAUACAAUCAUGUCCUGGAAGCUGGGAGGCGGGCUUUGAGCACUGCAGAAUGUCACAGGUGUGCCUCAUGGUCCCAGACCCCUUGCCAGAGGCCCCAGAAUCGGUUAAAACUGGCCUUUUUCCUGGCCCUGCUCCCACACAUUGUGGUGUACCAUGCUCCCCAGGGAAGCUGGAGCUCAUGGACCUUCCUGGACGGAAAACAUCCAAACCAGGAUGUGAUGGUCUGAUGAUAGCCCUUUGGGUAGCAUUCAAGGGCCCCAGUGUUCCCUGCCCUACCACAUUCUCCUCCCUUCUUGAUAAUCCGUGAGGUGGGCCAAGCCCCAUGUGUUUGGGCCACCUCUGCAAGGUCCAGGAUGCUGAGGGGCUGGCAGGAACAAGCUUCCCUUCCUCCACCUGUCUGGCUCCGCCCCCUGGACUGCUGGGCUCCGCAAAGUCCUUACUGCUGUCCAGGCCUGAGUCACAUCUGGGAAAAUAUUGGGCUGGAUGAAGGGACUGCUUUGGUGGUUCUGGGUUCCCAGGCCUCAGGAAGAAUCUAGAGUAGCACUGAGCGGGCAAACCUGCCGAGAAAGAGACACGGGGUUGAGGGGAGAUGUUGGCAGACAGGCUUCCCUUUCCUAGCCAUGCCAUGCCUCUCGGCCCUCCUGGCCAGAGUCCUGUUUCUCUAUUUCCUACAGGUGAAGAAUCCUGCAUCGGACCAGGAGGGCAGCCAGUAGAAUGGUGGAACCCCUCUGGGCUCCUUCCUGGAUGGCUCCCUUCCUUGCCUCGUGUGGGUUUUUGAAGGCCUCCUGGAGGUGCCUGUGCAGCCCGAAGCCACCCUUCUGGAAGGAGUGCAGUGAAGUGGGGGCCUGGCUCAGCCAAACUAGCCAUGAAGCUUCUCCGUAAUGGUGGCUUUUGGAGGUCACGUUUUCCGAUGAUACGGGCUGAGGGUGGCCUGCAGCUGCCUAGCAUAAGCCUCCCAUCCUCAUGAAGCUGAGGCCGUCUUGCAAGGGGCCCCAGGUCCCCCUGGGUACACAUCAGCCCCCAGUGACCACAGGUACCGUAGUGGCUGCUCCCCACUCCGAAGGGCCCUGCCAGUUCUGAGUAGGCAGCCAGCACAGUUCCCUCCAGCCACAGUGGCAUACCGGAAACCCUCAUGUUCCUACGGUCCCCCUUCCAGUCUGCACCUGGGCUUUCAGCUCCUCAGUGUGCCCCACAUAAUCCCCUUUGGUUCCAGACUCCCCAUCCACCCUGUAAAGCCAUCCUUCAGAAUAGGGACAUCAUUUUUAUGUUCUGCUCCUGUCUAGUCUCUUGCUAGUGUGAUACUAUGUGUUUCAGAUCUGCUCUGGAAAUAGUAUUGUAUCAAAAGGGAGAAAAUGGGGAUCCCUGGGUGGCGCAGCGGUUUGGCGCCUGCCUUUGGCCCAGGGCGCGAUCCCGGAGACCCGGGAUCGAAUCCCACAUCGGGUUCCCGGUGCAUGGAGCCUGCUUCUCCCUCUGCCUGUGUCUCUGCCUCUCUCUCUCUCUCUGUGACUAUCAUAAAUAAAUAAAAAUUAAAAAAAAAAAAAAAAAAAAAAAAAAAACAAAAGGGAGAAAAUGCACAACAUUUUCCCCCCUUUUGGGGGUCAGGGGUUCUUGGUAGGGUCAUCAAGCCUCAUUCUGGUCUUUGGGCUGCCUCAGGCCAGGCCUUCCUGGAGAAGCUGAGCAGGCCCCUGCAUCACAGAAGUUCAGCAGUUCCUACUCAGCCAGGGCACAGAAGAGGGGACCAGGCUUCCCUGCCUUCUUCCAAUUCAGACCUGAGCACAAACCCACAGAGCUCAUGAGCCACAUAGGGAAGAUCCUGCUCUUGUGGUCACUCAGGCCAGUUCUCCAUAUGGAAUGAUGGCCAGGCCACAUCUGACUUCCCAACAACCAGCAGCUCUUACUCCUGGAAGUUCAUCUGCCCUUUCCCAGGAGGCAAGACUGGACCAGGGGCACCAAAUAAUAAAGCCAACCUGGUGCAGCACCUGGGCUCAGUCGGUUAGGCAUCAGAUUCUGAUUUUGGCUCAGGUCAUGAUCUCAGGAUCAUGAGAUCAAGCCCAGCAUCAGGCUCUGCGCUCAACAUGGAGUCUGUGUGGAAUUUUCUCUCUUCUUCCCCACUGUCAACCCCCUUGCAUGCCUCUAAAUUAAAAAAAAAAAAAAAAAAAAAAAAGGCAGCCUGGACCCCUACUUCUUAGCAGCAGUGGGGGAGGCCUCUAGCUUCCACCCAGAGCCAAACCCCUUCCACCUACCCAAACCUGAGCUGUGGUCUUGCCCAGCACCAAACCAGAGGCCACAGAGUACACCCAGAGUGCUCCUGGGCCCACACAACCUUCCCUACUGUUGUCACCUUGGCAAUGGCCAACUCUGCUACUCUAGGGGCACCUUCACCUCCUUCAAAGCACAUUUCCCCACACCAACUCCUGCACCUCCUUUAGUUUCAGCCAGUCUUUUCUGCUUAUGUUGGUCUAAGGAACAGGACACAUUUAAGACAAUGCUGUCCCCAACCCCUUGACACCAGGAGUCGACUACAGGGCACAAAAGAACCUUGUUCUUUUAAAUUCACUACCGAGAUGAACCACGAUAGACUUUUCCAGAUAUAGAGGAGUUUGUUUUAGCUCAGAUAUAAAUGAGAAGGCACAGCCCCCUUGUCCAUUCUCUCAAAAGCAGCCCAAGUCUAUAGAAGGGAGUCACUAGCUGGCCUGCACAGGGUCCAUCCCUUACAACAGUUCCAAGUCCCGUCCUCCAGAUGAGUCCAGCUGAAGUCCUUCCCAACCUGGGAGGCAAGCUGCAUUCGCAAGUUUCUUCACCUGGGUCGUAGCUGGGAAGCACCUGCUCAAGUAGAAACGUUUCUUUAACAGAAGUCUCUAAAGAGCCGUCCCAACACAGCCGUCCGACGCUGUGCACGCCCCGUCGGAUCCUCUCCCGCCCGGAGUUCUCCGCGCCGCGCAGUCUGGCAGCGGACGGCAAGGGUCCUUCGGGGGACGGGGGCAGCUCGGUCCUCGGCGUCCG
rnacentral:lncRNA from 1 species